rnacentral:misc_RNA from 1 species
GAUGAAGAACGCAGCGAAAUGCGAUAAGUAGUGUGAAUUGCAGAAUUCAGUGAAUCAUCGAAUCUUUGAACGCACAUUGCGCCCCUUGGUAUUCCAUGGGGCAUGCCUGUUCGAGCGUCAUUUGUACCUUCAAGCUUUGCUUGGUGUUGGGUGUUUGUCUCGCCUUUGCGUGUAGACUCGCCUUAAAAUAAUUGGCAGCCGGCGUAUUGAUUUCGGAGCGCAGUACAUCUCGCGCUUUGCACUCAUAACGACAGCGUCCAAAAGUACAUUUUACACUCUUGACCUCGGAUCAGGUAGGGAUACCCGCUGAACUUAAGCAUAUCAAUACGGAGGA